CUACGGGAGGCAGCAGUGGGGAAUAUUGCACAAUGGGCGAAAGCCUGAUGCAGCAACGCCGCGUGAGUGAAGAAGGCCUUCGGGUUGUAAAGCUCUGUCUUUUGGGACGAUAAUGACGGUACCAAAGGAGGAAGCCACGGCUAACUACGUGCCAGCAGCCGCGGUAAUACGUAGGUGGCAAGCGUUGUCCGGAUUUACUGGGCGUAAAGGAUGCGUAGGUGGAUAUUUAAGUGGGAUGUGAAAUACCCGGGCUCAACUUGGGUGCUGCAUUCCAAACUGGAUAUCUAGAGUGCAGGAGAGGAAAGUGGAAUUCCUAGUGUAGCAGUGAAAUGCGUAGAUAUUAGGAGGAACACCAGUGGCGAAGGCGGCUUUCUGGACUGUAACUGACACUGAGGCAUGAAAGCGUGGGGAGCAAACAGGAUUAGAUACCCGAGUAGUCC
rnacentral:rRNA from 1 species